rnacentral:tRNA from 1 species
GGAGCCGUGCCUGAAUCAUAAGGGUCACUUUGAUAGAGUGAAACAUGGGGGUUAGACUCCUCCCAGCUCCU